UUGACCCUGCCAUGUUCGUGUUUAGAAACUAAGUCCUUGAACCGUAGUAAAUCCAUGACGGGACCUUGGCUCUGAAGGUGGCCGACAGGCCUUAACUGGAAGUCGAAAGCCGUCGAGCGGGUUCCACCUGUUUCUAACAAGUUCAAAGGAACUGUUACACACGGCAUUACGGCGGGGUUUUU
rnacentral:other from 1 species